AUGUCACCGAUGAGGGGCACGAUGGGCUUCACCUUCUGCGCCUUCCUCCUCCUGCCGCCGAGCAGGUCGUCGUCGAUCUCGCCGAGGCUCAGCGCGUGGCUGAAGGACGGCAGGUACUCGCUGCUGUACGUGCUGGACUUCUCCGCCCACCGCUCGCUCCGCACCAUGGCCGCCGCCAUCACGUCGGCGUCCCCACGGAUGCUGCACCGUGCCGCCGCCGCAGCCUUGUCGGCCUCGAUCUCGGCCAGCCUCGAGAGGCCUCGGUGGAGCUGCGCGUUGAGGCUGGCCACGGCCAUCUCCAUCUCGGUGCCCCUCUUCCUCAGCUGCAGCACCUCCCGUCUCGUAUCGGCCACCUCCGCCUCCAGCUUCUUGAUGGAGCUCACGACCGCGAGCCCGGCCUCGUCGUCUUGGCAACCAAGCUCGCCGUCGUCGCCAUACGCCGAACGCGGCGACGUGAACGACGGCGAGGAGUGCGCGGAGUACAUAGGCACAAUAGCUGCCGUUGCCUCAUGCACCGGUUCCGCAUCUACCUCUGCCAUUGCAUCUGGAGAAAGGGUGGCGGUACUGCUCCUACUGCAAUCUUCGUGCUUGGCGUUAGGGGUGGCAUUGGCAUGCGGAUCGGCAAUGGCAACCGCACUGCUGCUGUAUCUGGAGUUGCUCCCGCCGACGAGGAUGUGCUCCCCGAACACCGCCACCGCCUCCUUCACGGACCGGAAAGGGCGGGCGGUGUCGACCUCGACGCGAUCAGAUGCCAUGGACGUUCUGCCUCCUCAAGGAUCUGGGCUGCAAGAAACAUUCACAAGCUCCCGGAGGUUUAUAUGGAGAAAAAUCUGCAGGAGUGGCGCUGAAGCAGGGACGCUAGCUUUCUGGGCACUCUUGUCUGGCUGGCUAUCUGUCUGGCUCCAAGGAGACGAGCACGUUCUGGCAUGCAGUUUCCAAGGGGGAUAG
rnacentral:rRNA from 1 species